CUGGAGGGCGUGCUUGGGCUCAUGCCUCAGCGGCUUGGGCUGGGCCUUGGGGCUGCUGCCGUCGGGCCCAUGCUGCAGAUCUCAGUGUUUUUGCCUUGAAGACACAAACUUUGGAAAGAUUUUUGGAAGGACCAGACAGAGAUAAGGAGAGUUCAGGUGAGUCUUCCAGCAAGCAGAAUAAGGGGGCAUUCUGGAUAUGAAAGGUUUCAAUUAAUCAAGCCAUUCUCCAAUUGAUAAAUGGUCAAAGGAUAUGAACAGACAAUUCUCAGAUGAAGAAAUUAAAACUAUUUCUAGCCAUAUGAAAAGAUGCUCCAAGUCAUUAUCAAUCAGAGAAAUGCAAAUUAAGACAACUCUGAGAUACCACUACACACCUGUCAGAUUGGCUAGAAUGACAGGGAAAGAUAAUGCGGAAUGUUGGAGGGGAUGUGGGAAAACAGGGACACUGAUACGUUGUUGGUGGAAUUGUGAAUAUAUCCAGCCAUUCUGGAGAGCAAUUUGGAACUAUGCUCAAAAAACUAUCAAACUGUGAUAACCUUUAUCUAGUGAUAACAUUUGAUGUUACUGCUGGGCUUAUAUCCCAAAGAGAUCAUAAGGAAGGGAAAAGGACCUGUAUGUGCACGAAUGUUUGUGGCAGCCCUGUUUAUAGUGGUUAGAAACUGGAAACUGAGUAGAUGCCCAUCAUUUGGAGAAUGGCUGAAUAAAUUGUGGUAUAUGAAUGUUAUGGAAUAUUAUUGUUCGGUAAGAAAUGACCAGCAGGAGGAUUUCAGAAAGGCCUGGAGAGACAUACAUGAACUGAUGCUGAGUGAAACGAGCAGGGCCAGGAGAUCAUUAUAUACUUCAACAACAAUAUUAUAUGAUGAUCAAUUUUGAUUGACCUGGCCAUCCUCAGCAAUGAGAUGAACCAAACCAGUUCCAAUGGAGCAGUAAUGAACUGAACCAGCUACGCCCAGGAAAGAACUCUGGGAGAUGACUAAGAACCAUUACAUUGAAUUCCCCAUCCCUAUAUUUUUGCCUGCCAGCAUUUUGGAUUUCCUUCACAGGCUAAUUGUACAAUAUUUCAGAGUCCGAAUCUUUUUGUAACAAAGUAACAGUUUGGUCAUGUAUACUUAUUGUGUAUCUAAUUUAUACUUUAAUAUAUUUAGCAUCUACUGGUCAUCCUGCCACCUAGGGGAGGGGGUGGGAGGAAUGAGGGAAAAAAUUGGAACAAAAGGUUUGGCAAUUGUCAAUGCUGUAAAAUUACCCGUGUAUAUAACUUGUAAAUAAAAAGCUAUUAAAAAUAUUUAUAUUAAAAAAAAUAAAAUUAUUUACAGUAGGGCAAAAAAAAAAAAAAAAAAAAAGAAAGGUUUCAAUCCAGGCAUUUGGCCUUUGGAAUAUGUCUUGUCAGGAAUAAAAAGUUAAAGUGGCUCCCUCAAA